CAGUAGCCACGGUAAAACGGAGGGUGCAAGCGUUAUCCGGAUUUAUUGGGUUUAAAGGGUCCGUAGGCGGAUCUGUAAGUCAGUGGUGAAAUCUCACAGCUUAACUGUGAAACUGCCAUUGAUACUGCAGGUCUUGAGUAAAUUUGAAGUGGCUGGAAUAAGUAGUGUAGCGGUGAAAUGCAUAGAUAUUACUUAGAACACCAAUUGCGAAGGCAGGUCACUAAGAUUUAACUGACGCUGAUGGACGAAAGCGUGGGGAGCGAACAGGAUUAGAGACCCCCGUAGUCCCUGUCUCUUAUAC
rnacentral:rRNA from 1 species